AUUGAACGCUGGCGGCAGGCCUAACACAUGCAAGUCGAACGAGUGGCGGACGGGUGAGUAAUGUCUGGGACACUGCCUGAUGGAGGGGGAUAACUACUGGAAACGGUAGCUAAUACCGCAUACCAUACGAUGUGCCCAGAUGGGAUUAGCUUGUUGGUGGGGUAAAGGCUCACCAAGGCGCCGAUCCCUAGCUGGUCUGAGAGGAGAGCCAGCCAUACUGGAACUGAGACCCGGUCCAGACUCCUACGCGAGGCAGCAGUGGGGAAUAUUGCACAAUGGGCGGAAGCCUGAUGCAGCCAUGCCGCGUGUAUGAAGAAGGCCUUCGGGUGGUAAAGUACGUUCAGCGGGGAGGCGUUACCCGCAGAAGAAGCACCGGCUAACUCCGUGCCAGCAGCCGCGGUAAUAC
rnacentral:rRNA from 1 species